GACGAACCGUGCGAACGUUAUUCGGAAUCAUUGGGCUUAAAGGGCGCGUAGCCGGCGAUAUAAGUUGGAAGUGAAAUCCCAUCGGCUCAACCGUGGAAUAGCUCCCAGUACUGUAUCGCUCGAGGGGGAUAGGGGUCUGCGGAACUACCGGUGGAGCGGUGAAAUGUGUUGAUAUCGGUGGGAACGCCAGUGGCGAAAGCGGCAGACUUGACCCUUCCUGACGCUGAGUGCGCGAAAGCUAGGGGAGCAAACGGG
rnacentral:rRNA from 1 species